rnacentral:lncRNA from 1 species
CUGAGUAUUUAUGGGUUGUCUUCUCUCGAGCGUUUUGCGGGCUCUUUGUUGCCUGGACCUUUCUCUAGGCCAGCUGAGUUGGUUUAGUGUGAGCGGUCAAUUCCCGAGGUCGAUGCCUCUUAUGAUUGCCCCUGAUUCUCUGUUUGGCUUUGUAUUUUGGUAUGCAGUUUGCUUAGGAAUCGCCUUGCCUCAAUUCAGUCUGCCUAUUGGGUUUACCAGUACUGCGCUCGUUUUCUUGAGAUCGGCAUGAUGCUUUGGUACUUUUGGCUGUUGUGUGAGAUCCAAGUCUCUCUACCUGAAGACUCUAGUUCCUUUGGGAGAUCGGAGUUUAACUUUUCAUUUAUGGUCCCGUGCCCCAAUCUUUUAUGUGAGAUCGGAACUACGUUCUUAUGAGUUGUUUUUGCUUGUAGCACCGGAUGAUCUUGGGGAUUCCGGCCAUUUUCGCUUCCGGAGAUCUUUGAGAUCUUCGCCGGUAUUCUACCUCAGUGAGGUCUUCUACCUCUCAAUGAGGUCUUCUGCAUCAGUGAGGUCUUCUGCCUCAUUGAGGUCUUCUACCUCUCAGUGAGGUCUUCUGCCUCAUUGAGGUCUUCUGCCUCAUUGAGGUCUUCUGCCUCAUUGAGGUCUUCUGCCUCAUUGAGGUCUUCUGCCUCAGUGAAGUCUUCUUUUGCUAGGACCUCAGUGAGGUCUUCUUUUGCUAGGACCUCAGUGAGGUCUUCUUUUGUCAAGACCUUAUUGAGGUCUUCCUUUGUCAAGACUUUAUUGAGGUCUUCUCUUGUCAAGACCUCAUUGAGGUCUUCUCUUGUCAAGACCUUAUUGAGGUCUUCCUUUGCUAGGACCUCAGUGAGGUCUUCUUUUGUCAAGACCUUAUUGAGGUCUUCCUUUGUCAAGACCUCAUUGAGGUCUUCUCUUGUCAAGACCUUAUUGAGGUCUUCCUUUGCUAAGACCUCAGUGAGGUCUUCUUUUGUCAAGACCUUAUUGAGGUCUUCCUUUGUCAAGACCUCAUUGAGGUCUUCUCUUGUCAAGACCUUAUUGAGGUCUUCCUUUGCUAGGACCUCAGUGAGGUCUUCUUUUGUCAAGACCUUAUUGAGGUCUUCUCUUGUCAAGACCUCAUUGAGGUCUUCUCUUGNN